AGAGUUUGGAUCCUGGCUCAGGAUGAACGCUAGCUACAGGCUUAACACAUGCAAGUCGAGGGGCAGCAUGGUUUCAGCUUGCUGAGACUGAUGGCGACCGGCGCACGGGUGAGUAACGCGUAUCCAACCUGCCCUUUACUCCGGGAUAGUCUCCUGAAAGGGAGUUUAAUACCGGAUGUGUUUGUCUUUCCGCAUGGGAGCGACAAAUAAAGAUUAAUUGGUAAAGGAUGGGGAUGCGUCCCAUUAGCUAGUUGGCGGGGUAACGGCCCACCAAGGCGACGAUGGGUAGGGGUUCUGAGAGGAAGGUCCCCCACAUUGGAACUGAGACACGGUCCAAACUCCUACGGGAGGCAGCAGUGAGGAAUAUUGGUCAAUGGGCGUAAGCCUGAACCAGCCAAGUAGCGUGAAGGAUGACGGCCCUACGGGUUGUAAACUUCUUUUAUAAGGGAAUAAAGUGCGUUACGUGUAAUGUUUUGUAUGUACCUUAUGAAUAAGCAUCGGCUAAUUCCGUGCCAGCAGCCGCGGU
rnacentral:rRNA from 1 species